CAAGAAUGUUGAGAUCCUAAGCCGACUCUCACCCAAGAGGUAAACAACCAGGGGCCUCCAGGGGUAGAGAACAUACCCAGACAGGUUCUGCUGCCUGUAGGCUUCAUGUCCUUCCCCUACAACACGCCAUGCUUGCCAGGCUGGAAGAGGGGCUCCAGAAACUUGGAAACCUGGGCCUGUAGCUGGCAUAUGGAAAAGAGGCCUGGAAAAGCACCACUCCUGUCCAUGAAGCCCCCAGAUGGAACCAGGUCCUGUUCAGAAACCCCAUCUGUGCCUUUGGAGAGACUGCCCCGAGCACACAGGCCCAGCAACCGCCAUCUAUGGCCCCCAGGACCUAAUCCCUUCUACAUAGGGUUCAGUGCAUGUGGAUACUGAGGGAGAAAUAGAAAAAUCCAAGACAAUCCCCUGUGGAAGAAAAUUCUCCAACCCAAAACUCAGCCGAACUCAAAGCGCUGAACAGCGCGUCAACUAAGACCUGUCAAAUAUAAUCACACGGGGCCCAAAUAUAAUCACGGGGCCCGGGCCCGGCGUGGGGGUUGUAGGCCGGCGCCACAGCCUGAGGACACCGCGACCUCUGCCCCGCGGAGCGCGCCGAAUGCCGGGAAACUUUGCGGAAUGUGUCCAGGUGUUGAAGCUCUUGAUGGCGAAAGGAACAGCAAGAGGACCUUGUGCAUGAAUAAUUUGUUUCCAUACUACAGAGUGGGUAAUAAGCAGAUUAGUAAAAACAAUUCUGCUUCACUUCAAUAACAGCCUCCUCCAACUCAUUUUUUCUCAACAAACUUAUUUUUCCAGCAGAAGAAUCCCAGACUUCUUAGAGAACCCAGUGACUUUUUGCACCUUAAAUCUGUGAAAUCCUCAUGUUUUCUUCUGCCGUAUCCAUAGUUCAAACAAAGAUGAGGCAAAGCUAGACGCAUUCCUGAAGGAACCCAAGAAAUUCCUCUCUUUCUCUCUCUGGAAUGAAAUGAAUUCUCUAGACCACCAGUUCUAACCUUCAAAAACCAAACCUGUUUGUGAGCUGUCCUUCAAAUACUACUGUAGACCCCAGUGUUUAUUCAUUAAAUUUUUUAAAUAUUUGUUUUAUUUGGAAUCAAAGUAUUUGUAAUUUUAGUAUUUGUAUUAAUAUCAGGGAGAAAUGUUUAAAUCUGUCUAUGCCAUAUGUGCCUCUGGCUUAUUGCCCAAUUAAUUGUAGCCUCAGGCUAAACUUUGGUUUCUGUCUUUAAUUUUUGUCAGAAGAAAUAUAACUGAUCUCAAAACAUCUGCUUUUAUUGUAGGGACUCGUGCUGCCGUCUCCAUUCUUCUCUCUUUUCUUGCAAUCUGGGUGGAAGUUCUUUAAUGUGAACAUUUCAACCACCUUCAUUCUACCAUGUCCACUAUGAGCACAUUCAAACUUAUCCAGCCAAGGGUAUCAUCUUAGGCCAGGGAUUUUUUAGGAAUCUAUUUUGCUGUGAUGCAGCUGGCACCCCUUUGACUCACUGUAUCACCCCAGGGUUCUUUUCAUUUCAGAAGCCCAAGAGGGCAGAAAAAGAAGUAGGUGAGCAAUUAAACACUCUGAGUCAGGAGCGUCUCCCCUUGUGUUAGGCAAUGUUGUAGAACAUCGUAUUUAGCAAGCUCCCAGCAGAUGAGCCACGUGGCUGCUGAGCACACACGCCUGCUUGCUGCUGUGAGCUCAGACACCAUCAUCAUGUCUUUUCCAUCUCUGGAGGGAAUUGUAAGGGCCACUUAAUAACCUGUAAAUCACAGAGAGUUAAAGGUGCUUCCCCAAAACACUGAUGACAGAAUGAACGGUGAGGAGUGUUAGCCACAGGUCAGAAGUGCAGGAAAGUCUCUCAGUGUGGGUUGUUGAAGAAAUGCAGGUCUUUUUUCUUUUGGAAGUCUCCCUAGAAUGCGGUCAAGGACUCUGCCCACUCUAGGAUGAAAAAUUGGGAUAUUAGACACCCUCAGAUAUUUAUCCCAAGCUUUCAUUUUGGGCUCUUAAUUAGUUCAUCCAUCACAAUCUCAAAUGCUAAGCAGGGCAGUUGAAUCUCUCCACAGUCCAAAUCAGCACCGUCUUUUAAAGUUGAGUUUCUUAUUAUUCUCACCUGGUAUACCUUAUUUAUCCCACACCCACCCCAAUAACAUAUCGUGCUCACUGUUGGGAGGACGUCAUGGAUGCAGGUGCAGGGGGAAGACCACGUGAGAGCACGGGAGGACGUCAGGGAUGUGAGUGCAGGGGGAGGACCACGUGAGGGCAUGGGAGGACGUCAUGGAUGCAAGUGCAGGGGGAGGACCAUGUGAGGGCACGGGAGGACGUCAGGGAUGUGAGUGCAGGGGGAGGACCACGUGAGAGCACGGGAGGAUGUCAGGGAUGUGAGUGCAGGGGGAGGACCACGUGAGGGCUCGGGAGGACGUCAGGGAUGUGAGUGCAGAGGGAGGACCACGUGAGGGCUCGGGAGGACGUCAGGGAUGUGAGUGCAGGGGGAGGACCACGUGAGGGCUCGGGAGGACGUCAGGGAUGUGAGUGCAGGGGGAGGACCACGUGAGGGCUCGGGAGGACGUCAGGGAUGUGAGUGCAGGGGGAGGACCACGUGAGGGCACGGGAGGACGUCAGGGAUGUGAGUGCAGAGGGAGGACCACGUGAGGGCUCGGGAGGACGUCAGGGAUGUGAGUGCAGGGGGAGGACCACGUGAGGGCACGGGAGGACGUCAGGGAUGUGAGUGCAGAGGGAGGACCACGUGAGGGCACGGGAGGACGUCAGGGAUGUGAGUGCAGGGGGAGGACCAUGUGAGGACAUAGGAGGAUGUCUGGGAUUCGAGUGCAGAGAGAGGACCACGUGAGACAUAGGAGGAUGUCCGGGAUUCGAGUGCAAAGGGAGGAACGUGUGAGGACAUGGGAGGAUGUCAGAUAUACGUGUGCAGAGGGAGGCCCACAUGAGAACAUGGGAGAAGAUGUCGUCUGCAAGCCAGGGAGAGGCCUCAGGAGGAGCAGCCCUGCCACACCUUGCUCUGGGACUGCCACCCUCCAGUACCCUAGGAGAACACAUUCCUGUUGGUGAAGCUGCCAAGGCCGUGCUGCAGCACCAGGGGCCUCUGGUUGACAGACUGCAGAGCAGCGAUGCCCGUGGUAGCCUCCACGUAAACUCUCUAGAAGGGUUUUGUUUUCUAUCCUCAUUUUUCCUGCCUUAUCUUUCAAGAGGCUUCCUUUGCCUUCACUUGUGUAGGUUCGUUUCUAAAUACAGAGAAGGAAUGCAGGCAAAGGAGUACCAAGCCAAGCCAUCUUUUUAAAAGAUAAAAAGGGCACAUUUUUCUUCCUUCCUGAGGAACUCAUACACCAAGUAUGCACAGAACACCUGUAAAUGGUAGAGGAUUCAGAUAUUUUGAAAGCACAAAACCUACUCUUGAAGAACACACAACUGCUGAGUGGUAACAAAGUUUUGGCCGCUAUAGCUGCUAAAAAUAGAGUUGUCAUAUUCUACAACUAAAAAUAAAGAAAUACAUCACUGAUCAAACACGCUUGAUGGCCUUCAUUUGCAUACGGUCGUGACAAGCCCGGUGGGAGGUGUAAGAAUGCUUGGGUGUUACCCUGCCCCUGAGGAGCUCAUGAAAGCGGUGUUCACAGCAUGCUGCAGUUGCUCACAUCGUAGUUCAUAAGGCAUUUUCUCACAUGCCACCUAAACUCUUCUGCGUGGCAGCUGGGGCAGGCACCACCUUUCUAUUUCUCAGGUGUGAAAACUGAGGGUCUCAAAGAGGCAAGCACUUGCCAAAGUCACGCAGCAAGCAAGGACAAAUGAGAGGGAGGCGUCUCCAACCAGGCGCAGGCUGACAGAUGUGGGCCCGUGAGCACCACUUACCCUCAGGUCUGUGAUAGGGGUCAGAUGGGUGACAGCCACAUGAGAGGCCGUCCUCUUGGGGUUGAGGAGAGAGGCCACUCUCCUCUGGGAUGGGCUUGAAAGAUGUCUCUGUACAGGGUGGGCAGAGAGGAGAGGGAGACCUUCUCAGAGCAGGGAGGUGCACGCUGUCACCAGGAGCUGGCCAAGAGGCUCACCAGAGCUGCGGUGGAGGCCGUGCAGACUGUGUGGCGGGGCUGGAACCUGGUUUCAUAGAAACAACAGGGAGAAAACAGAGUUGUGAGCUGGAGAGGUUCAUGGCCAGAUGAGCUGCACAGGUGGGUGGUGGGACCAAGGCCACAGUGGUCAGGAAAUGCUGUGAGGGGACAGUGAGGAAAGAGGAUGUCCCAGGGCCGUUCAUGCUUGUGACCACAAAGAAGAGAUGGCUGGGCCAGGCUCCCCCUUAGCAGGUCUGGUAGCAGUUAUGCAGGUGCGAUCAUCAGUUGAUUGAAGAGCUCUCGGGUGAAAAG
rnacentral:lncRNA from 10 species